rnacentral:rRNA from 1 species
AGCGAACGUUAGCGGCGCGCCUAACACAUGCAAGUCGCACGAGAAAGGGAGCAAUCCCCGGUACAGUGGCGCACGGGUGAGUAACACGUAGAUGACCUUCCUGGAGUGGUGGAUAACCUGUUGAAAGGCGGGCUAAUACAGCAUGGGACCACAUGGUUUUGACCGAGUGGUGAAAGCGGGCCUCUGUUCACAAGCUCGCGCUCUGGGAUGGGUCUGCGUCCCAUCAGCUAGUUGGUGAGGUAAUGGCUCACCAAGGCAUCGACGGGUAGCUGGUCUGAGAGGAUGACCAGCCACACUGGAACUGAGACACGGUCCAGACUCCUACGGGAGGCAGCAGUGGGGAAUCUUGCGCAAUGGGCGAAAGCCUGACGCAGCGACGCCGCGUGGGUGAAGAAGGCCUGCGGGUU